rnacentral:lncRNA from 1 species
AAACCUAGUGCCUUAAUUAGUCUGUCACUAAAUACCAACAAUCUUACCGGUACAAAUGAGGAACGGAUCGGAAAGUUGACGAAUCUAUAAAAUCCAAGUCUUGGUGCCAACAAAAUUGUAGGAAAAAUCACGUCUUCCAUUAGCAAUCUUACUCAUUUGAUACUUUCAUAUUUUGUAGAAAAUAAAUUCAUUAUUUUUUUUUGAACCGAACAGUAGGGGAGGCCCUAGCUUUUUCUAUUUAUAUGCAAAAAAGAAUAGUAUGUACAUGAGUGGACUCCAAGUCCAAAGACAAAAGAUGGGGGAGGCUACCGGAAAUUACAUAACCAAGAUUUUAACUCCAACUUCAAGGACGGCUUGGCUCUAUAUAGCACAAGCAACAUCUUUAUGCUUCCAUCUUUGAAGUGAUAUAGCAACACCAUCGAAAAUGAUCUCGUUUCUAUGCUUCCAGAUGGCCCAGCAUGCUAGAAUGAGUAUCUCCCUGAAAAAUUCUCGAGCCAAAAUUCCUUCUAGAUUCAACAAUCCUGUCUAAGAACAUGAGGUUGAGGUUCCAGCGAAGAACAUGGAGCAAUCGCCAACACCACUGGCUAAAAGAGCAAGGGAAGAAGAGGUGAUUUGAGGUCUCCUCAACUACACUAGCACUGCAGAGAGCACAGCUGUAGUCAUCUAGAAUUCUUUGUUUCCUGCAUAAUAUGUUUUUGGUGUUUAAUCUGUCUCUCAGUAGCAGCCAAAACGUAAACUUGUGUCGACCUCGGCUACAUGAUCUCCACAUCCAUAUUAACAAAAGGUGAACCUACUUUUGAAUCCCAAUCACCUUAAUUAAAAUAUAUACCAAUAUAUGAUUCUAAAUCAUUUAUUUCUUACACUAUUGGUAUAUGAUAUAAUAAUUAAGGUAUAUAUACAUAUGUGUGUCACCAUUUAUAAAGAUAUAGAAGAAGUGAUGAGAAUAUAGAUUUCUAUGUUAAAUUUGCAAUUAAAUUGCCCACCACUAAUACUUAAAAAAUAACUUAAAUAAAUUAAAGUGACCCCUUAAAUUUGCAUCUAUAUUACCCACAUAUGUCAUUAUUAAAAAUAACAAGAGGUAACCUACUUUUGAUCCAAAUCACCUUAAUUAAAAAUAUAUACCAAUAUAUGAUUCUAAAUCAUUUAUUUCUUACACUAUUGGUAUAUGAUAUAAUAAUUAAGGUAUAUAUGCAUGAUGUGUGUCACCAUUUAUAAAGAUAUAGAGGAAGUGAUGAGAACUUAUGGUUGGUAUGCGUCGUCAGUAUGCGCUUGAGUUAAAAUUAUAGCUCAAAUUUAUGGUCCAUUAAAUAAAUUCAAGCGCAUACCGACGAUGCAAAGUGAAAAAAAUCCUAGAAAUUCUCACAAAAAUCAAAAACACCAAACAUCAAUCGUGCAAACACUAAUAAUCAUAGUCAUUGGUCUAUUAUAUUUUAUAAAAGGUUACCUACCAUUAUCAUUAUGAACAUAUUCUAAAAUAAACACUAACCCUAUAUCUAAAUUAUGGAGCUCCGCAAUUAUAAAAAACUAAUCUAAAGUGACCCCAUAAUCUUCGUCCAAUUUACUUAUGCAUAUCAUUAUAAAGUAUAACUUAAAAUGUUAUUGUAAAUUUGUAUCUAAGUUACCCACGUAUGUUCUUAUUAAAAAUAACCUAAAGUAAACACCUCAAUCUUAAUCUAAUUAUCUUCAUGUGCAUUAUUCAAAAAAGUCCAAAAGUAAACAUGAUGAGUGUCAUUGUUAAUAUAGAAAUACAAAGUUAAGGUAUAUACGCAUGAUAAGUGUCACCAUGUAGACAAUCUGUACAUGUAUGUGAGGAAGUGAUGAAAAAUAUUAAUUUUUAUUGUAAACACAAUGUGUGGAGAUGUGAUACAAAAUGAACAAAAAAGUGUGAAUGUGGAUAAAAAGUGUAUAGUAAUUAAUAAUUAAAAACAAUCAUAAGACAAAGAUAAGUAUACAUCUAUAUAAGUAUUAUGUUGAAAUAUUGAAAAAACUAAGAGAGUAGUAGGUAAAUAAUUUUGAUUAUUAACUAGGAGCUCAAUUUUUAAAUAAUUUUUAAAUAUGAUAGUUUUUAAAAAUAUUAUCCUGUGCGGGAGCUGAGGUUGAUGGACUAGCACAACUAAUACUGAUCACUAGAUAUUUCUCCAAUUGAAACGGUGUUCAACAUCUGCAAAACCCUGUAAAGCACGGCAUUGUACAGACUAUUCUUGUCCAGAUGGGAUACAAGUUGACUUGACCCACUCGCUACCCUGUCAAAGAUAACCUAUGAACGAAUCAUGCCCACACAUACAUUCUGGAAGUACCAUCAUCACAAAGGUCCAAAUCGGACCUGGAAACGAAAAUCCAGCACCGUAGACCAUUCCUCGAGCUGAAUUUUAUCAUCACCGUAAAACUGCUUUUAAACCCCUGGGGCCUCAGCCAGUUGAGCAUCCAGCUCAUACUUCCAGUUCAAACACCCACUAGCAAGCAAAUAGAAGCAGAUUAGAAAGGCUGCCGCACAGCAGAGGUUCCAUACUCUUUCGCUCCCUUCCCUCCCUUCUCAUUUGUGUUCGGUGUUACUAUUUAACUAUCCUAUUUGUGCUGUUACUUUUUUUAAGAUGAUUUUAGUUGGUGUCUAGGUGUAUAAUAAUAUUUAUAAACCUAGAAAAGUUAAAAUAACCUACAAUUUGGAACGGAGGAAGUAUUUCUUAGAAUUAGCUCUGGUUACAACAUGAGCGUACGCUGCGUAGUCCAUCUAGUAGUACUUUAUACGCUGCCAUAUUUAUGCUUUAAUUUUGCAGGUGACAAUUAAUAUGCUCCUCAUGUGUCACUCGAUGUUGCUGGCGAAACUCGCCGUGCUUAUCGUAUUGCCUUUUUUGCUGCUGUGUUAUGGAGUGGGCAAGGUUCACUGCUCGACAAUUCAUGAGAACAGAGAAGAUCUGCGCUCACUGCUCGACUUUAAGAAGUGGAUCAGUGAUCCAAAUGGAGCCUUGAUGAACAAUUGGACAACUGGCACCCAUUUCUGCCGGUGGAAUGGUGUUAACUGCACUUCCACGCCACCAUAUCGCGUCAGAGAGCUCAACCUCACCGGGCUAAACUUGGGUGGCGAAAUAUCCUCCUCUCUUGGAAAUCUGACCUCCCUUAAUUAUCUUGAUCUAUCCAAUAAUAGCUUUCAUGGUCCCAUACCUCUUCUUAACAAACUCCAAAACCUAGAGUACCUUUUUCUAGGAAGCAACCUUUUGCAAGGUGUUAUUUCCGACGCACUUACAAAUUGUUCUAAUUUAGUUACACUAGAUCUCUCUGGAAACAACCUCAACGGUCUCAUUCCUCCUAGAAUAAGCUUUCUUACCAAACUAGCAUAUAUCUACCUUGAUAGUAAUUAUCUCACUGGGGAGAUACCAGCAUCCCUCGGAAACAUCACAAAUUUACAACAAGUCAUUUUUUCAAAAAAUCAGCUCAGUGGUAGAAUUCCCGACGAGGUUAUGCAAAUGCCAAACUUAAUGGAGUUGCACCUAGACCAAAAUAACCUAUCAGGUAGUAUUCCUGAGGUUUGGCAAAUGCCAAACAUAUUGCUGUUAGACCUAAGCGUAAAUAACCUCUCAGGUCGAAUUUAUUUUCGAGCUCUAUCUAAUGUAUCUUCUCUUCAGGGAUUGUCCUUGGCAUCAAAUAUGCUAGGCAGCACAUUACCAUCUAACAUUGGAGAUGCUCUACCGAAUCUCACGAUUCUAUACUUGGGUGAGAACUAUUUCGAGGGUCACAUUCCAGCUUCCCUAGGAAAUCCUCCAGGUCUAGGAGUCAUAGAUCUCUCAUCGAAUUAUUUCACCGGCCAAAUCCCAAAUUCUUUGGGAAACCUUUCACUGCUGUCUUUUCUUAACCUUGAUCAAAACAUGCUUCAAUCAACAGACAAUGAAGGUUGGGAAUUCAUCCAUGCCCUGGGAAAGUGUAGAUCUCUAGAAAAACUUUCAUUGUCUAAUAAUAAGCUACAGGGAGCCGUACCAAAUUCUAUUGCAAACCUGUCCAGCACUCUUACACAUCUGCUAAUGUCUGAAAACAGUCUAUCAGGAACAGUUCCCCCACGUAUUGGAAAAUUUAGUUCCUUAAUUCAACUAUCACUAGAUCAAAACAAUCUUACCGGUACAAUUGAAGAAUGGGUUGGAAAUAUGACAAAACUAGAACGUUUGAAUCUCCAAUCAAACAGCUUCGUCGGGAUAAUUCCACCUUCCAUUGGCCAACUUACACGGUUGACAUAUUUAUUUCUUGCUGAAAAUCAAUUCACUGGGUUUAUACCACCUAGCUUUGGAAACCUUACAUCAUUGUUGGAGCUGAACCUUAGCUACAACAAUUUCAACGGGUACAUACCACCAAACUUUCGAAACCUUGAACAACUCAUACUAUUUGACCUUAGCUACAACAAUCUACAAGGUGACAUAACUCUAGAUAUUAGCAAACUUAAACAGCUCACAGACCUACGUCUUUCAUCAAACAAGCUUACCGGAGAAAUCCCAGAUACUUUUGGCAAGUGUCAACAAUUAGAAACCCUCCUAAUGGACCAAAAUUACCUCAAAGGAAACAUCCCACCAUCUUUCAAGGGACUACAGAGCCUCAAAUCACUAAAUCUUUCUCACAAUAACUUGUCUGGCACCAUUCCAACUAUUUUGGAGGAUCUAUCGCUUCUCAAUAAGCUGGAUCUUUCAUAUAAUCAUCUCCAAGGAGAAAUACCAAUGAAUGGAGUCUUUGCAAAUGCAACGGCUAUUUCACUCAAUGGCAACUGGGGGUUCUGUGGAGGAGUGAUGGAUCUCCAUAUGCCUGCAUGCCCUGCGGGUUCUCCGGAAAUAGAAUGGAAACGCUAUGUGAUCAUCUUACUGAUUCUAGUAUUUAGCUUCAUGUCACUCGGGAUGUCAAUUUACGUUAUAUUUUUUGGGAAGAAGGCACGGAGGCCAUACUUAUUAUUACUUUCUUUUGGUAAGAAAUUCCCUGGAGUUUCUUACAAGGAUUUAGCCCAAGCUACAGAGAACUUCUCAGAGUCCACCCUAGUUGGGAGAGGAAGCUAUGGUUCAGUAUACAGAGGGAAGUUAACUGAAGCUAAAAUCGAAGUAGUUAUUAAGGUCUUUGACCUUGAGACAAGAUUUGCGGACAAAAGUUUUAUUUCAGAAUGCGAGUCUUUGAGAACCAUUCGGCAUCGGAAUCUUCUUCCUAUACUAACUGCAUGCUCAACGAUUGACAAUAAUGGCAACGAUUUCAAAGCACUAAUUUAUGAGUUCAUGCCCAACGGGAAUUUGGAUACAUGGUUGCAUCAGAAACAUGGUGGUGUAGUUCCAACACAUUUGGGCUUAGCUCAGAGACUAAACAUAGGUGUUGGCAUGGCUGAUGCACUGGCCUAUUUACACCAUGACUGUGGAAGGCCUAUUGUCCACUGUGAUCUGAAACCAACUAAUAUACUUCUUGAUGAUGACAUGAAUGCUCAUUUGGGAGACUUUGGCAUUGCAAAUCUCAUUGUUGAUUCCAGAUCAAUAGCAGUCGGACAUUAUUAUUCAUCUGGCUGUAGUAGUUCACUCGCUGUGAGAGGAACUAUUGGGUAUAUUGCUCCAGGUAUAAAUCAAGAAUGUUGCCAUCUCUUCAUGUAUUUGUAUAAAACAAUCUGUUAUUCACUCAAUAAUUUUCCUCUAUUUUAAGAGUAUGCUCAAACUGUUCAUGCAUCAACCUGUGGGGAUGUUUAUAGUUUUGGAAUACUACUCCUGGAGAUGAUUCUAGGCAAAAGACCAACUGAUUCCAUGUUUGAGGGUGGGCUCACCAUUAUCAAUUUUGUGGAGAGAAACUUUCCAGAUCAGGUGUUACAUUUCAUUGAUGCUCAUCUCCAAGAAGAAUGCAAGGACUUUGUUAAAGCGACGGCGUCAACAGAAAAUGAGGUCCAUCGAUGCGUGUUAUCUCUCGUGCAAGUUGCUCUUGCUUGCACGCGUUCAUUGCCAAGAGAAAGAAUGAGCAUGAGAGAAGUAGCCGUAAACUUGCAUGCAAUCAGGAGGUCGUAUGUUGCAGCGACUAAAUGAGGGCAAGCCAUGCUUCGCUAUACCUUUUGCAAUUAGCUUGGGUUAUUGGGUAUCUUUAAAUGUAAUUGGAAUAAAUAUGGCAAAUUAGGCAUGAGUAGCAUGCUGAGAUUGAUGAAAGCUAAUAUAUGUGAUUCUCUUUUAAGCCGCUAUAGGCGUGUAACCCAAAACUCUUAAGAUAGUGAGAUUGUUGCUGGCUAGUGCCCGUGGUUUUUCCCCUUCACAUCGGAGGGGUUUUCCACGUUAAAUCGUGUGUCUCCUCUGUGGCUUAAUUCUUUACUUCAUAUUUCUAUACGUCGUUCAUAACACAGACAUCGUGUUACCGCUCAUGCUAGGACUUGGGAUUUGAACAUUUGGAAAAUGGAUUUGGUAAAGCAUCAGUGAUUUUGGUGAAGUGAUCUUAUAUGGCUUUGAUGGGUAAUGUCCCAUACCGGAAUACAUUGGGACUGCACUGUAAUCUAGAUGCGAAUCUGCAAUAACCCACCUAGAAUUGGUACAGAUCCAUCAUCGAAAUCCCAAACUGGAAUUACCUUCCACCUUCCACCAAUCACUUCACAGAAUAAGGGCUAUUGAGAUCAUUUCAUACUGGGUGUGCAGCCGAAGAUCGGACAUGUGCCGGGCCACGCGCGCUGCUCGCAGACGAUGCGUCGCCACCCACCCGCCCGCCGUGCCUCCGCGCGUGGAGCGGCCGAGAUUUACCCGCAAUUGCACGGUGCUGCUGCGGUCGAGGUGAGGGCACUCCAGCGCUAGCGCUACUGUGUGGCUGGCUUGCCGUCAUGGCAUCAUUGGGCAAGGCCGAAUGUGUUCUGAGCUACUGACUGGUGUGUCAUUUUGAGCCUGACCCCUGACGACGGCGGGUUCCAUUUGCGUUGAGCGCUUGUGUGUGUGUG